rnacentral:rRNA from 1 species
GAUGAACGCUGGCGGCGUGCCUAAUACAUGCAAGUCGAGCGAACGGACCCUAAUCUUGCUUCUCUGUUGUUAGCGGCUGACGUGUGAGUAACACGUGUAUAACCUACCUAUAAUACUGGUAUAACUUCGGGAAUCCGGCUCUAAUACCGUAUAAUAUUUUGCACCGCAUUGUUCAAUAGUUAUUUACGGUCUUUCUGUCUCUUCUCGAUGCUUCCGCGCUGCAUUAUCUAGUUGGUAAGGUAACGGCUUACCAAGGCAACUAUGCGUAGCCGACCUGAGAGGGUGAUAGGCGACAAGGGAAGUGAGACAGGGACAAGAGGACUACGGGAGGAAGCAGAAGGGAAUGUUAGGCAAUGGGCGAAAGAAUGACGGAGAAAGGCGGAGUGAGAGAUGAAGGUGUUGGGAUCGUAAAAAUCUGUUAUGAGGGAAGAACAGAUGUGGAAGGAAAAGAGGAGAGAGUGACGGUAACUAAUAAGAAAGCAACGGCUAACUACGUG